rnacentral:rRNA from 1 species
UACGUAGGGGGCAAGCGUUGUCCGGAAUCAUUGGGCGUAAAGAGCGUGUAGGCGGCCCGGUAAGUCCGCCGUGAAAGCCCCGGGCUCAACCUGGGAAUUGCAUUUGACGACUGCAUAGCGUAGGGUGCGGAAGAGGGAAGCGGAAUUUCCGGUGUAGCGGUGAAAUGCGUAGAUAUCGGAAGGAACACCAGUGGCGAAAGCGGACUCCGUGGUCCAGCACCGGACGUCAGGCACGAAAGCGUGGGGAGCAAACAGGA